AAUAUUGGUCAAUAGCCUAACGGCUGAACCAGCAACUUGGAAGAAUGUAUGGCAAUAGCCACUUACAUUAAAACAAAUUUUUAGUGUAAAAUCGACUCUGUUGAAUAAAGUUCUGGAUGGAAUAUUGAUAAUGACAUUUUCUGUCUAUUUGUCUUGACCAAAUUACGUGCCAGCAGUCGCGGUAAUACGUAAAAGACUAGUGUUAUUCAUCUUUAAUAGGUUUAAAGGGUACUUAGACGGUAAAUCAAGCCAAGAAAGAAAAGGUACUAAUUUACUUGAGUAUUAUGUGAGAUGUAUAUAUAGUUGUAUUCUUGAGAGAAGAGAUGAAAUUCUGUCAUCCGUUGAGGUUACGGGUAAAAGCGAAAGCGACCAUCUAUGUAAAUACUGACGUUG
rnacentral:rRNA from 1 species